rnacentral:misc_RNA from 1 species
GAAAAGAAAAGGAAAAUCCAACUUUUUGAACUCCCCCUUUCACGAGCUCUUCAGAAAAAGCUAGGGUUUCUCCGCUCCAAAACCCAAGUUUUCAAGGUAGCUCUUUUCUAUCCACCAGCUCUCGUUCUCUCUCGUUAUUUGAUCCUCCUCUUCAUCUGAUCGAUUCAUUGAUCUUUUGGUGUUCUAGAGACCAGACGCAGCAG